rnacentral:rRNA from 1 species
AUUGAACGCUGGCGGCAGGCCUAACACAUGCAAGUCGAGCGGAUGAAGGGAGCUUGCUCCUGGAUUCAGCGGCGGACGGGUGAGUAAUGCCUAGGAAUCUGCCUGGUCGUGGGGGAUAACGUCCGGAAACGGGCGCUUAUACCGCAUACGUCCUGAGGGAGAAAGUGGGGGAUCUUCGGACCUCACGCUAUCAGAUGAGCCUAGGUCGGAUUAGCUAGUUGGUGGGGUAAAGGCCUACCAAGGCGACGAUCCGUAACUGGUCUGAGAGGAUGACCAGUCACACUGGAACUGAGACACGGUCCAGACUCCUACGGGAGGCAGCAGUGGGGAAUAUUGGACAAUGGGCGAAAGCCUGAUCCAGCCAUGCCGCGUGUGUGAAGAAGGUCUUCGGAUUGUAAAGCACUUUAAGUUGGGAGGAAGGGCAGUAAGUUAAUACCUUGCUGUUUUGACGUUACCAACAGAAUAAGCACCGGCUAACUUCGUG